UGGCGGCCGUAGCGCGGUGGUCCCACCUGACCCCAUGCCGAACUCAGAAGUGAAACGCCGUAGCGCCGAUGGUAGUGUGGGGUAGGCAUCAAAUUACGAAGAA
rnacentral:rRNA from 1 species